UCCCGGUUGGCCCGGGCAGUCUCGCAUGAAAAAUUUAACAUACGAUAAGGGUUGCGCUCGUUGCGGGACUUAACCCAACAUCUCACGACACGAGCUGACGACGGCCAUGCAGCACCUGUCACUAGGCUCCCGAAGGCACUCCCCUGUUUCCAGGAGAUUCCUAGGAUGUCAAGCCUUGGUAAGGUUCUUCGCGUAGCUUCGAAUUAAACCACAUAAUCCACCGCUUGUGCGGGUCCCCGUCAAUUCCUUUGAGUUUUAAGCUUGCGCUCGUACUCCCCAGGCGGCAUACUUAUCGCGUUAGCUUCUCAGCACAGGGGGUCGAUACCCCAUACUAAUAGUAUGCAUCGUUUACGGCGUGGACUAC
rnacentral:misc_RNA from 1 species